rnacentral:lncRNA from 1 species
UAAUAAACAAAGUACUAACUUCAGUAACAAAAAAACUAAAUUUCAAGAAAGGAAAAUAGCAACUUUCUUGUGAUGAGAUUUUUUGGAAAAAAAAGGAGAAAGAAAGAGGUUAAAUGGUGAAAAUCACCAUCUGGGUUUGCAACCACCAAAGCCUAGUCUGCAUGAUGCAAACCCUGCAACUUAAGGCAAUCAGUUCGAUUCCAUAGGAUGCUGAUCUUCCUUGAUCUCCUAGGGUCAGGGAUGCAUUUAUCACAUGAAAGAAGUAUUAAUCUUCUUUCAUGCAAAUUCACUGUUGGAUCAUCACUUGCUCACUUUGAGACCAUACCAAAAGACGAUGAUGGAAUUUGAAGCAUUUUGAGAUUUAUGUGAUUGGUGAUCUACCAAUGGAAUCAUGCAAAAGAUAGUGAAUCCUUCUUUUGUAUGAAAAAUGCAACCCAGUCUUGACCCCAGUAUUGCAAGUACUCAUUCUACCCAGGGACUUGCAAUCCAUCAUAAUGGAUUACUUUUGAACCCCCUUGUCCAUGAACCAACUUACACAACCAAACCGCACCUAAAAAAAAUAGGAAAAAAAAAUGCUAGCUGCAGAUGUUGAGCAAACCAUGCCUUUUCUAUUGGAAGUAGCGAACAAAUAGCAGUAGUUUACAUAAUCAAGUUGUAUCUUUCAUGCAAAAGAAGGAUUCACCUUCCUUCAUGUGAGUCCUCUGUUGGAUCAUCCAUUGCUUGUUUUGAUAUCUGUGUAGGACAAUGAGUGAUGGAAUUUGAAGCACUUUGAGAUUUGUGUGAUGGGUGAUCCAACAGUAGAUUCGUGACAAGGAAGGUGAUCUUCUUUUGCACGAAAGAUGCAAUCCAAAUCUAUGGUUCACUUA